rnacentral:rRNA from 1 species
AACGAACGCUGGCGGCAUGCCUAACACAUGCAAGUCGAACGAGACCUUCGGGUCUAGUUGCGCACGGGUGCGUAACGCGUGGUAACCUGCCCUUAGGUUCGGAAUAACUCCCCGAAAGGGGUGCUAAUACCGGAUAAUGUCUUCGGACCAAAGAUUUAUCGCCUUUGGAUGGGCCCGCGUUGGAUUAGCUAGUUGGUAGGGUAAAAGCCUACCAAGGCGACGAUCCAUAGCUGGUCUGAUAGGAUGAUCAGCCACACUGGGACUGAGACACGGCCCAGACUCGUACGGGAGGCAGCAGUGGGGAAUAUUGGACAAUGGGCGAAAGCCUGAUCCAGCAAUGCCGCGUGAGUGAUGAAGGCCUUAGGGUUGUAAAGCUCUUUUACCCGGGAUGAUAAUGACAGUACCGGGAGAAUAAGCUCCGGCUAACUCCGUG